ACGGGAGGCAGCAGUGGGGAAUAUUGCACAAUGGGGGAAACCCUGAUGCAGCAACGCCACGUGUGGGAAGAAGCAUUUCGGUGUGUAAACCACUGUCGUGAGGGAAUAAUGCUUAAUUUCGGCUAAGUUGAAUGUACCUCGAAAGGAAGCACCGGCAAACUUCGUGCCAGCAGCCGCGGUAAUACGAGGGGUGCAAGCGUUGUUCGGAAUCACUGGGCGUAAAGGGAGCGCAGGCGGAGAUGCAAGCAGUCUGUACAAUACCGGGGCCCAACCCCGGACCUGCAGACUGGACUGUUUCUCUUGGAUAGUUCAGGGGCAAGCGGAAUUCCUGGUGUAGCGGUGGAAUGCGUAGAUAUCAGGAGGAACACCGGUGGCGAAGGCGGCUUGCUGGGCUUUUACUGACGCUCAUGCUCGAAAGUGCGGGUAGCAAACAGGAUUAGAUACCCUGGUA
rnacentral:rRNA from 1 species